GGCGAACGGGUGAGUAAUACGUGGGUGAUCUGCCCUGCACUUUGGGAUAAGCCUGGGCAACUGGGUCUAAUACCGAAUAGGACCACGCGCUUCAUGGUGUGUGGUGGAAAGCUUUUGCGGUGUGGGAUGGGCCCGCGGCCUAUCAGCUUGUUGGUGGGGUAAUGGCCUACCAAGGCGACGACGGGUAGCCGGCCUGAGAGGGUGACCGGCCACACUGGGACUGAGAUACGGCCCAGACUCCUACGGGAGGCAGCAGUGGGGAAUAUUGCACAAUGGGCGCAAGCCUGAUGCAGCGACGCCGCGUGAGGGAUGACGGCCUUCGGGUUGUAAACCUCUUUCAAUAGGGACGAAGCGCAAGUGACGGUACCUAUAGAAGAAGCACCGGCCAACUACGUGCCAGCAGCCGCGGUAAUACGUAGGGUGCGAGCGUUGUCCGGAAUUACUGGGCGUAAAGAGCUCGUAGGUGGUUUGUCGCGUUGUUCGUGAAAACUCACAGCUUAACUGUGGGCGUGCGGGCGAUACGGGCAGACUAGAGUACUGCAGGGGAGACUGGAAUUCCUGGUGUAGCGGUGGAAUGCGCAGAUAUCAGGAGGAACACCGGUGGCGAAGGCGGGUCUCUGGGCAGUAACUGACGCUGAGGAGCGAAAGCGUGGGGAGCGAACAGGAUUAGAUACCCUGGUAGUCCACGCCGUAAACGGUGGGUACUAGGUGUGGGUUCCUUCCUUGGGAUCCGUGCCGUAGCUAACGCAUUAAGUACCCCGCCUGGGGAGUACGGCCGCAAGGCUAAAACUCAAAGGAAUUGACGGGGGCCCGCACAAGCGGCGGAGCAUGUGGAUUAAUUCGAUGCAACGCGAAGAACCUUACCUGGGUUUGACAUGCACAGGACGCCGGCAGAGAUGUCGGUUCCCUUGUGGCCUGUGUGCAGGUGGUGCAUGGCUGUCGUCAGCUCGUGUCGUGAGAUGUUGGGUUAAGUCCCGCAACGAGCGCAACCCUUGUCCUAUGUUGCCAGCGGGUUAUGCCGGGGACUCGUAGGAGACUGCCGGGGUCAACUCGGAGGAAGGUGGGGAUGACGUCAAGUCAUCAUGCCCCUUAUGUCCAGGGCUUCACACAUGCUACAAUGGCCGGUACAAAGGGCUGCGAUGCCGUGAGGUGGAGCGAAUCCUUUCAAAGCCGGUCUCAGUUCGGAUCGGGGUCUGCAACUCGACCCCGUGAAGUCGGAGUCGCUAGUAAUCGCAGAUCAGCAACGCUGCGGUGAAUACGUUCCCGGGCCUUGUACACACCGCCCGUCACGUCAUGAAAGUCGGUAACACCCGAAGCCGGUGGCCUAACCCUUGUGGAGGGAGCCGUCGA
rnacentral:rRNA from 1 species